rnacentral:rRNA from 1 species
CAGUCGCCGCGGGAAUACGUAGGUGGCAAGCGUUGUCCGGAAUUAUUGGGCGUAAAGGGCUCGCAGGCGGUUUCUUAAGUCUGAUGUGAAAGCCCCCGGCUCAACCGGGGAGGGUCAUUGGAAACUGGGAAACUUGAGUGCAGAAGAGGAGAGUGGAAUUCCACGUGUAGCGGUGAAAUGCGUAGAGAUGUGGAGGAACACCAGUGGCGAAGGCGACUCUCUGGUCUGUAACUGACGCUGAGGAGCGAAAGCGUGGGGAGCGAACAGGAUUAGAUACCCCAGUAGUCCCUGUCUCUUAACA